GCCGGCCUAGCUCAAUUGGUAGAGCAACUGACUUGUAAUCAGUAAGUUGGGGGUUCAAGUCCUCUGGCCGGCACCA
rnacentral:tRNA from 1 species